GUAGGCAAGUUUAACCCCCAAGUUCCCCCCAACCUUCUACUGUACUAACAAACUCUUAGGUGAACCUGCGGAAGGAUCAUUACUGAGUUAGGGUCUUCUAGGCCCGACCUCCAACCCUUUGUCUAUUUUACCUCUUGUUGCUUCGGUGGGUCCGUCCCCUCUAGAAAUGGAGGACGACCGCCGGAGGGUUUACCGCCCUCUGGCCCGCGCCCACCGACGGCCCCAACCCAAAACUCUUGUUUAAACAUGA
rnacentral:misc_RNA from 1 species